rnacentral:rRNA from 1 species
AUGGGGGACCAGGAGGAGGAGCCGGCCGGGUUCGCGCACGCGCGCCACGCUACGUUCUUGGAGGUCAUGUCGUCCGAGCUCCCCGACGGCUACGCCACGCAGGAGGUCAACCACCUCACCCUCGCCUACUUAGCCGUCGCCGGCCUCUCCCUCCCCCGGGAGCUCGACCGGAACAUUGAUAUGCAAUCAGAGCGAAGUACACUAUAA